UGAAGAAGGCCCUUGGGUCGUAAAGCUCUUUUAUGGGGGAAGAUGAUGACGGUACCCCAAGAAUAAGCACCGGCUAGCUAUGUGCCAGCAGCCGCGGUAAUACAUAGGGUGCGAGCGUUGUUCGGAAUUACUGGGCGUAAAGGGCGCGCAGGCGGAAUAGUAUGUCGGAGGUGAAAGCCCGGGGCUCAACCCCGGAGGGUCUUUCGAAACUGCUAAUCUAGAGAGGGUCAGGGGCCGGCAGAAUUCCUGGUGUAGAGGUGAAAUUCGUAGAUAUCAGGAGGAAUACCGGUGGCGAAGGCGGCCGGCUGGGGCCACUCUGACGCUGAGGCGCGAAAGCGUGGGGGGCAAACAGGAUUAGAUACCCUGGUAGUCCACGCCGUAAACGAUGAGCACUGGAUGUCCGGAGGGUUCGACCCUUCUGGGUGUCUCAGCUAACGCAUUAAGUGCUCUGCCUGGGGAGUACGGUCGCAAGACUAAAACU
rnacentral:rRNA from 1 species